AUUGAACGCUGGCGGCAUGCCUUACACAUGCAAGUCGAACGGUAACGGGCCUUCGGGUGCCGACGAGUGGCGAACGGGUGAGUAAUGCAUCGGAACGUACCUUUCAGUGGGGGAUAACGUAGCGAAGGUUACGCUAAUACCGCAUAUUCUGUGAGCAGGAAAGCAGGGGAUCGCAAGACCUUGCGCUGAUUGAGCGGCCGAUGCCAGAUUAGCUAGUUGGUGAGGUAAAGGCUCACCAAGGCGACGAUCUGUAGCGGGUCUGAGAGGAUGAUCCGCCACACUGGAACUGAGACACGGUCCAGACGCCUACGGGAGGCAGCAGUGGGGAAUUUUGGACAAUGGGGGCAACCCUGAUCCAGCCAUGCCGCGUGAGUGAAGAAGGCCUUCGGGUUGUAAAGCUCUUUCGGCCGGGAAGAAAUCGCACGGGCUAAUACCCUGUGUGGAUGACGGUACCGGAGUAAGAAGCACCGGCUAACUACGUGCCAGCAGCCGCCGUAACAC
rnacentral:rRNA from 1 species